UACGUAUGUUGCAAGCGUUGUCCGGAAUUACUGGGUGUAAAGGGUUCGUAGGCUGUUAGUUCAGUUAGUCAUGAAAGACCGGAGCUCAACUCCGGGUUUGUGGUUAAAACUGACUAGCUAGAAUGAGGGAGAGGUAAGUGGAAUGUUAAGUGUAGGGGUGCAAUGCGUAGAGACUUAGAAGAACACCAAAAGCGAAGGCAGCUUACUGGAACUAUAUUGACGCUGAGGAACGAAAGCGUGGGGAGCGAAAAGG
rnacentral:rRNA from 1 species